rnacentral:rRNA from 1 species
UACGAAGGGGACUAGCGUUGUUCGGAAUCACUGGGCGUAAAGCGCACGUAGGCGGAUGUGUCAGUCAGGGGUGAAAUCCCGGGGCUCAACCUCGGAACUGCCUUUGAUACAGCACGUCUCGAGUCCGGAAGAGGUGGGUGGAAUUCCUAGUGUAGAGGUGAAAUUCGUAGAUAUUAGGAAGAACACCGGUGGCGAAGGCGGCCCAGCUGGUCCGGUACUGACGCUGAGGU